rnacentral:misc_RNA from 1 species
AAGUCGUAACAAGGUUUCCGUAGGUGAACCUGCGGAAGGAUCAUUACCUUUCAAUGCAGCAGAAUUGGGAUGGUUGAGUAUCUCGCCUCUCCGUUCUGCCUGUAUUCUACCCUUGUUUGUCAUAUACUAUUAUUUCCUCGGCAGGCUUGCCUGCCGAGUGAAACCAUUUAUAACCUUUUUAAUUUUCAAUCAGCGUCUGAAAAAAAUUAAUAAUUACAACUUUCAACAACGGAUCUCUUGGUUCUG